rnacentral:lncRNA from 1 species
UUACAAUGCGCAAAUAUAUCUAUCAAUAUAAAGCCACUAAAAUAGCAUUGCUUUUCUUCUUGCUAGUUUAUUUUCUUUUCAGUUGUGUUUGAGUAUUCUGUCUUCCUGCAGCAGGGUACUAUAACGCAUUUGCACGAGUUAUUAAUACAAGCUCCAGAGCCAGCACGCCAAAAAGUGCACCAUGAUUGGCAGUCUGUAUUAAAAUUACACGAUGGUGGUCCUUGAGCUGAACCUGAACCUCUUGCCUCUGCAAUUCCACUCAUUAAAUGAAACCCUGCAAAUAAUUACACACAAUAUAGUAAAUAACAACAUAUUUAUAACCACAAAUUCAAAAAGAUUAUGAAGUUUCAUGCACAUGAUUGAGAGGACAAACCAGUUACAAAAAGCCAGAAAGUGACUAAGCAGAGCAACUUCCUUGAAGCCUUUUCCAUCUUGUGUGGUGUGACGAUUUAUUGUAUAAACU